rnacentral:pre_miRNA from 15 species
UCCUAGUAGUACCAAAGUGCUCAUAGUGCAGGUAGUUUUGCCAUUAUUCUACUGUAGUGUGAGCACUUCUAGUACUCUUGGAU